CUUUUCUCUGCAACUUUUCGACAUAAGUCUUCUCACUUUGUAUCAGGACAUUUGUCUGGUCAGAAAAAGGCCACACAAUAUGCAGAACAGACCGGGGUGUCUGCCCUACUGUCUGUGCUUCAUGAAGAAGUCUGCCUUCUGUCUGGGCAGGGUGACAUUCAACGAAAAAAGGGUGGGUUGUUGACAUUCAGAAGACCCCAGAUGACCUCAAGAUGCCCCUUCUGAAGAGGAUCCUGCGUGACCUUGAGGUGGAGAUAAAAUACUACCAGUGCUCCCGUCUGCGCACCCGGUCGGAGGUAGUGGCAGACGUUGUCACCCGACUGUUCUUCAUGAUGAAGACC